rnacentral:RNase_P_RNA from 1 species
GCGGAGGGAAGCUCAUCAGUGGGGCUACGAGCUGAGUGCGCUUAGUCACUCUAUCCGGUGUCCCUUGGGAAGGUCUGAGACUAGGGCCACGGGCGGCCCUAACAGGGCCCUCCCUGAGAUUCGGGGAGGUGAGUUCCCAGAGAACGGGGCUCCGCGCGAGGGCAGACUGGGCAGGAGAUGCUAUGGACCCCGCCCUUGCGGAGGGGCCUGGCGGAUGCCUCCUUAGCCGGAGCUUGGAACAGACUCACGGCCAGCGAAGUGAGUUCAAUGGCUGAGGUGAGGUACCCCACCCCACCCCGCGUGGGGGCCUCAUAACCCAAUUCAGACUACUCUCCCGCCCGU